rnacentral:lncRNA from 1 species
AAAUUGGAAAAUGCUAAAUAAAAGAGAGAAAAAGGAAUGAAAUAUGUACUUGUAAAUGCAUAAAAGGAUAAUAUAUAAUUCUAUGUAACAAAAUGAAUACAAUGAAAUACAAUGAAUAUACAAUGAACUACAAAUACAAAAAUAUCUCAAAAAGAAAUAAUCUAAGUGAUUGAUCACUAGGGAUACAAACAGGUCGAUGUGAUAGCUGCACCUUGAGCAACCAUUUUGCAAUGGUGAAGAUGAAAGUCAUGUCAAUAUAAGAAUGGUGAAGUGGAAAGGAUUCUGAUUACCCAGUGACUUUGCUAAGCCACCACAGCAGUCUGGACUGGCCACCUCUGGAAUUUUCAAUAUGAGAAUAUAAACCUUGGGUGCCAUCUCAAAUCAAUUGACCUUAUCACAACUGACAUGGUCACAUUGCUAGGACUUCCAGAGCUUGGACUUUGAAGUAUUCAAGAUAUCUGACUUCUGUUCUUUCCACUCUAUUCAGGUACCAAAGUCUUUUAAAGACAGUGUUUAAAUGGGGGAAUAAUCAAGAUUUAACACUACUCAAAUAGUUUCCUAAAUACUUUUUGGGGAGCAUAGAAGUUACAGGUCUUCUAAAAUCCUCUGGUAGAAAAUUUUAUUUUUUUAUUUUUCAGUUCCUGGUUUGGUGGUUUAAAAAGGUUUAAAAAGGUUCAGCUUUCCCUUCUCUGGUUGAACAUUUAAAUAAUUUUCUCUUCUUAUCUACUUGCGAGUGUUGUUGGAAUUUUGGUCAGGUGGCUGUCAUGUCUGGAUUGUAAGAAAUAUGAGAAUGCACAUAGUCAAUGUGGUCUCCUCACCCAGAUCACUAGUGAAUCAUUUACAGCAUUCCAGUAAGAGUGGGGCCAGCCUGGCCUCCAACACUUGAAGCCUGAGUCAUUUCCAGAAUUUGUGAGAACCCAAUGCUGCUGCAUGCACUUACACAAGCAUUCUUCGGGAGCCGUAUGCUAAUCCUUUCUAGACUUAGAUAUUAAGUCAUCCAUGUGUAUAGUAACUGUGGUCUCUGAACUCUACUUUUGGAAUGGGUUUAGGAGUAUCAAGUUUGGAGGCUUGAAACACUGCUAUGAUGGCAGCUCACUUCUUUCUGUAGCCUUGUUUAAUCCAUUAUUACUUUUUUCGUAUCACAGGGUGUUUGUUUACACUCUCUUGAAUGCUAAAAAUGUUCUUAGGCUGUUGACCUGAGUCACAAGGCAGAAAUCAAUGAUCACUUCUUCCCUUCACGAUAGGAAAUUCUUAGCUUGAUUCUUUUAGAUUAUCUCCAACAUGAACGAAGGAGGUUAAAAAGAAUAGUCUUACGUGAUGCAAUACCUGCUUUUCUCUUUUUAUUAGGUUAUUUACUUCCUCUGUCAUGUCCUUACAAGACACACCCUUAUCUGUGUCAUUUAACCCCUUAACUUAUUUCAAUAUACUUCCAAGGAUGUUUAGUGAGUGUUUCAACCUACAGUUUUGGAAGACUGUUUCUUCCUAUAUGCCAUAAACACAACUAACUCUUCUUACAUAUUAAUUGGUACUACAUUUGUAAGUAAUACAUUUGUAGGUCAUGGGAUCUAGAAAGGAUUAUGCAAGUUUCUGCCUGUUUAUUUAUUUUUUGUCUUCAAACUCUAGGUGAAAGGAUAUUAUUUUCUGAUGCCCACUUUAAAAAUUUAAUCCUCUUUUUAUGCAAUUUAAACCCCAUAUCUAUUACAAUCUUUGUUUCACGUAAUAGCUGUUCUCACAGAUACUUAAAAACUUUUUAAGCAGUUAAUAUAAGAGUUUCUUGCAAGGCAUAAAAGUGAGAGUUUACAUAAGCAGGCAUUUCUGGGGUACGGGAUCAGAAUUAGCCACCCCAAAGUGUGUCUCUUUGCCUUGAUUAUUAUUUGUUUUUUGUUUUAUUUUAUUAUUUUGCAAGGAAGAUUUGCCCUAAGUUAACACCUAUUGUCAAUCUUCCUCUUUUUGUGUGUGAGCCAAACACCACAGCAUGGCCACUAUCAGAACAGUGUAGGUUCACACCUGGGAACUGAAUCCAGGCUACUGAAGCAGAGUGGGCUGAACUUACCUGCUAGACCACUGGGGCUGGCCCUGAGUUGAUUAUUUUUAAGAAUAAAAGGUUCAGGAAGAAAAUUUGACCUUACCCUAACGGCUUAGAAAAAUUUAAGAUAGAAGCCCUGUUUCAGGAAGGAGCUAAUAUCAUAACUAUAGUAUAAAGUAAAAUAAGUAUGAUAGACAGGGAGGAAGCUAG